UUCCUCCAUUUUAAAAUUUUAUUCUAGUUACCACAUUGUUCUUGCAAUUGCUUGGAUUUUUCAGAAUAGUAAUAAAUAAUAACGGGAAUCCUAGGCAUUCGUGUUUUUCUAUGUUUUUAACAGGAUUUUCUCUAAUGUUUCGCUAUUAAAUACCAUGCAGGAAAUUGGGAAAUAAUAUCACAACCCAAGGUAAAUGGAGCUAACAGCAUAGAUGGGACAAGCUAAGACAUGAGGACCAGCUUGCGACUCCAGACCUGGGAAGACCCCAUGAGAAGCAGGGAGAGGGUGGGGGCAGUCAUGGGCAGGCUGGGAAACUCCCUCUGCUCACUGAGCCUGUGGGAGCAGGCCCCUGGAGACCCCAGGUUUCACAUAGUAGCCACACGAAGCAGAAAGUCAGAAGCACAGAAGGCUUCUUCCCAAGGUGGUGUGGCAGGCCAGGAAGCAGGUGGCAGGGCGCUGGCAUGAAGGCCAGCCAGAGAGCAGAACGCCAAACACCAGCCCCUGGGGUUCCACUGGCAUCACCAGCUCCCGCCGUGCUAAGUGGAAUUUUCAGGUGGAGGAGAGUUGGGAAAGGAUAGAAGUGAUAUGCUAUGGAAAUCCUUACAUUGUAUGC
ensembl:lncRNA LINC00244 long intergenic non-protein coding RNA 244